AUGCCCAAUUGGUUGUUUACAGAGGAAACAAAACUACAACAACUAUAUCUUGGGAAUAACUCGUUAACUGGAUCGCUAGACCCAGUAUGGCAUGCCCAAUCUUCACUCCUUGUUAUCGACAUACACAUGAAUCAUAUCGCAGGACAGCUGCCGGCCAACCUCGGCUCAAUGUUUCCAAAUUUGUUUAAUCUAGAUUUUUCUAGUAACGACUUGUUUGGGCACAUACCAACGUCAAUGUGUGAGAUCAGCUCCAUGGGAUAUUUAGACCUAUCAAACAACAAACUUUCUGGGGAGGUUCCAGCUUGUGUUUUUACUAAUUAUCCCCAGCUAUUCACCUUGAAGGUCUCAAACAACAGGCUUGGUGGUCCGAUUUUUGGUGGGAUGAAUAAUCUGUCCAAUAUACAGAAAUUGUGCUUGGAUGGUAACAAAUUUACAGGGACAUUGCCUCGUGACCUGGUAGGAUAUUCUCUAAAUGUCAUUGAUUUGCAUGAUAAUGAGCUGUCUGGUGAACUAGAUACAUCAUUUUGGAAAAUGUCUUCUUUGUUGGCCCUGAAUCUUGCUGACAACCGUAUAACAGGCAAAUUUGAUCAACACAUCUGUGACUUCACAGGAAUUCGCCUUUUAGAUCUGUCGCGCAACAACCUUACAGGGUCUGUACCAAACAGUUGCUUCAUAGUGCUGAAUUUUCUUAACCUUACUGGUAACUCAUUAUCUGGCGAUAUCUCUUUUCCCCUUUUCAACACAUCAAGUCUAAUUGCUUUGGAUAUCAGACACAAUCAGUUCAUGGGCAACCUCAAUUGGGUAGGUUACCUUGAAAACAUUAGGCUACUUUCACUGGGUGGAAAUAAGUUUGAAGAGCAGAUCACUCCAAACCUGUGCAGACUCAUGUACCUGAGGAUAAUUGAUUUGUCCCAUAACAAGCUUUCAGGUUCUCUUCCAGCUUGUAUCGGUAAUAUCUCUUUUAAAGGUGACACGGAUGAUCUAAUUUUGCAGCCAGUCCUUCAAGUUAUUACAUCCGACCUCCACGGUGCUUUCUAUGACUUAUUAGUAGACUUCUCCUUCGCUACCAAAGGGAAUCUAUACACAUACGGUCGAAGUUUCUUUGUUUCAAUGUCAGGCAUCGACCUAUCUGCAAACAUGUUGGAUGGCGAAAUUCCCUGGGAGCUAGGAAAUCUGAGCCAUAUCAAAUCUCUUAACCUGUCCAACAAUUUAUUUGUUGGUCCAAUCCCAACGACCUUUGGCGGCAUGGAGGAAAUAGAAAGCUUAGACCUCUCCCACAACAAGCUGAGUGGACCAAUACCUUGGCAGUUGACCCAGUUAUCAUCAUUGGGGGCGUUCUCUGUGGCACACAACAACUUGUCAGGAUGCGUACCAAACUCUGGUCAGCUUGGCUCAUUCAGCAUGGACAGCUACCUA
rnacentral:rRNA from 1 species